UGAGUUGGUCAGCUGGAAGUCCAUCAAGAACAAGACAAGUUUGGAGUUUUGAAGGUGAAGCAGACUUGACAUCUACUUCUACUCAUCACUACAGACAGGUGUCAUGUUCUGUCUCUCUCUCCCCUCUCCCUCACCUAUUCUCUCUCUCUCUCCUUUCCUCUAUGUUGUUCUCUCUCUGGUGUCUGUCUAACAUCAGUCUGGUCCUCUCCAGGGUUUCUGCCUGUUAAAGGAAGUUUCUCCUCUCCACUGUCACUCAUGUUAGAUAAGAUGGUACCAAACACAGGAGCCAAAAAACAGCUGUUCGAUCUCCUCUGUUCAAACCUGAAAGUCCAGCUGUGAUCCAAAGGAAAUCCUCUGACCUUCGAGUUGGAGGUAAAAAGGAGAAUUCAGGUCCAGAAAAUUGACCGUAGCUGCUCCAAAAUAUGAGAAGAAGAUGAGAAGAAGCUGAGAGAGAUUGUUAGUCUCUGUGUUUGGAUGGAAACAGCUGCAGUGAUUGGCUCAUUUCCUUCAGUGCAGAGUCAGCAGUUUUGACGGCGAAGCUCCGCCCCCCUGUGGGCGGAGGUCGUAACUGUGGGCAGUUGUAAACUCUAAAGAGGUGGUAAAGUGAUCAUUUCCCAGCUUUACAUUAUCCUAUUAAAAACAGAAGCUCAGCCCUGAGUGCUGUGAUUAUUCUGUGAUAAUGUCACUUUGUUUUCUAAAUUUGUCCGCUCCUGAUCCUGAAGAGACACGUAGAAUUUUUUAAGUCCAGUAGCUAUAAAUCGGAGUCAAACAGGUUUAUAGAACUUCCUCCACAGAUACCACAGUAUCUCAAUAAUUCAGAGGUAGAGAAAUUGGCUAACAUUACAGAGGUCUAGAGUUCGAGUCCCGACGGUGACUUAAUUCUUUUCAGAGCCUGAAUAUAUGACUAUCCCAGAGUUCUGAUCCACAAAUAAUCUGUGGUGUUACAAUCAGAAACGGAUCGUAGUUAAGAGGUAGUUCACUUAUAUCUUCAUAUCUUCGCUCCGGGGCUUUAAAAUUCGCGGUUUCUCCCGGG